rnacentral:rRNA from 1 species
UACGGAGGGUGCAAGCGUUAUCCGGAUUUACUGGGUUUAAAGGGUGCGUAGGCGGGUCUGUAAGUCAGUGGUGAAAUCUCCGGGCUUAACCCGGAAAUUGCCAUUGAUACUAUAGGUCUUGAAUCAUCUGGAGGUAAGCGGAAUAUGUCAUGUAGCGGUGAAAUGCUUAGAUAUGACAUAGAACACCAAUUGCGAAGGCAGCUUACUACGGAUGCAUUGACACUGAGGCACGAAAGCGUGGGGAUCAAACAGG